rnacentral:rRNA from 1 species
AAGCGGAGGAAAAGAAACUAACAAGGAUUCCCCUAGUAACGGCGAGUGAACCGGGAAGAGCUCAAAUUUGUAAUCUGGCCCUUGGGUCCGAGUUGUAAUCUAUAGAGGCGUUUUCCGCGCCGGACCGUGUCCAAGUCCCUUGGAAUAGGGUAUCAAAGAGGGUGACAAUCCCGUACUUGACACGACGACCGGUGCUAUGUGAUACGUCUUCGACGAGUCGAGUUGUUUGGGAAUGCAGCUCAAAAUGGGUGGUAAAUUCCAUCUAAAGCUAAAUAUUGGCGAGAGACCGAUAGCGAACAAGUACCGUGAGGGAAAGAUGAAAAGCACUUUGGAAAGAGAGUUAAACAGUACGUGAAAUUGUUAAAAGGGAAACGAUUGAAGUCAGUCGUGUUGGUUGGAUUCAGCUCGGUCUCCGGGUGUAUUUUCUUCCAACGGGUCAACAUCAGUUUGGAUCGGCGGAUAAAGAUGGAGGGAACGUGGCUCUCUCGGGAGUGUUAUAGCCCUCUGUUGCAUACGCUGGUCUGGACUGAGGCAUGCAGCUCGCCUUUAUGGCCGGGAUUCGUCCACGUUCGAGCUUAGGAUGUUGACAUAAUGGCUUUAAACGACCCGUCUUGAA